CGCACAAGAUCCAUGGAUCCCCACGUGGCUUUUUCAUGGAAACUGCUGCGGGAUGCUCUGAUCAGCUAGAGAUAGAGUUAUCUCUGCUCUGAUACAAGUACCUCUCAUGCCUCUGGACUUUUGCAGAACCUCUGUUUUGAAUUGCUACAUCUACUACUAGAUCUACUCAGUAGAUCCACUACCAACCAACAAGAAGAUUGGAUAGACUUCUAAUUUUGCUGAACCUCUUGUUUGAAUAUUUGCUACUCUACCUGUCUACCAACAAGAUAAUUAUACACUAUUCAUGUUCUCAAUCUCUGCUUUAGCUGGAGUGCUGCACAACCUCUUGCUUGAAUAUUUGCUACUACCUACCGAGAUCCGCACCAUUCCAUAAAGAAGCCUCCUCCUGAACUCCAACAAGUGCUUCAGUUCUUCACCAGUCUCCUAAGUUAUACGAGCAACAGGGACAAACUAGGUGAUAAGUGCUGAUGAUAUCAGAUGGCAGAGCAGGAGAAAUAUUCAAUUGAAGAGUCUGCUGAAGGAAGACAGGAACCAAGCUGUUUGCUGAUUGGAAACAGAAACGAAAGUGUUGAAUGUAGGAAUCCAAUUCGCUUGAUUAUCCUAGCGGUUUGUGUACUGAUAAAGAGACUCAAAGAAACCAAAAAAUUGUGGCCAAACGCUAGCUCCUGUUGAUGCUUAUCUCAUUAGUACCUCACUUAUUAAGUCAUGCACGUUGUUGAGUCCCCUUAAAUUGUCUACUUCACAUUCUCUCAUUUACUUUGCUGUUGUUAUUCACUUCCUCUACACGUAUACUCAGAUAUGUGGCGACACUGGUUGGCUAGACAAAAAAAUAUGCCACUUCUUGGACCAUUUUAUCUACAGUCGAAUGGAUCGAGAUUGAAGGUUGAAAACAGCCACCACUUUGAAAACUCUGGGCACAUCGAUCACUGUGUACUUGUGUUUUGGCCACUCUUACUCGUCACCCAAUGUAUAGUGUUUUGUUGCGUUGUGUUGUGUUACUGUUGAACGCGUGUAUUUAAUUGUUGCUGUUGCACAA